UACGUAGGGGGCAAGCGUUGUGCGGAAUCAUUGGGCGUAAAGAGCGCGUAGGCGGCCCAGUCAGUCCGAUCUGAAAGUCAGGGGCUUAACCCCUGAAUGCGGGUGGAUACUGCUGGGCUAGAGUCCGGAAGAGGCGAGUGGAAUUCCUGGUGUAGCGGUGAAAUGCGCAGAUAUCAGGAGGAACACCGAUGGCGAAGGCAGCUCGCUGGGACGUGACUGACGCUGAGACGCGAAAGCGUGGGGAGCAAACAGG
rnacentral:rRNA from 1 species